rnacentral:miRNA from 1 species
ACCCUCAUUGACGGAAGGGAUUCCUUCCGUCGAUGAGGUAAAGCACCCUCAUCGACGGAAGGGAUUCCUUCCGUCGAUGAGGUA